rnacentral:rRNA from 1 species
GUAAACUUCUUUUAUCUGGGACGAAAAAAGGGAAUUCUUUCUCACUUGACGGUACCAGAGGAAUAAGCACCGGCUAACUCCGUGCCAGCAGCCGCGGUAAUACGGAGGGUGCAAGCGUUAUCCGGAUUUACUGGGUUUAAAGGGUGCGUAGGUGGGUAGGUAAGUCAGUGGUGAAAUCUUCAAGCUUAACUUGGAAACUGCCAUUGAUACUAUUUAUCUUGAAUACUUUGGAGGUAAGCGGAAUAUGUCAUGUAGCGGUGAAAUGCUUAGAUAUGACAUAGAACACCAAUUGCGAAGGCAGCUUACUACACAGUGAUUGACACUGAGGCACGAAAGCGUGGGGAUCAAACAGGAUUAGAUACCCUGGUAGUCCACGCCCUAAACGAUGGAUACUCGACAUUAGCGAUACACAGUUAGUGUCUGAGCGAAAGCAUUAAGUAUCCCACCUGGGAAGUACGACCGCAAGGUUGAAACUCAAAUGAAUUGACGGAA